ACUCAAAUGAAUUGACGGGGGCCCGCACAAGCGGUGGAGCAUGUGGUUCAAUUCGACGCAACGCGAAGAACCUUACCGGGGUUUGAACUGUACGGGACAGCUGCAGAGAUGUGGUCUUCCUUCGGGACCCGUAUAGAGGUGCUGCAUGGCUGUCGUCAGCUCGUGUCGUGAGAUGUUGGGUUAAGUCCCGCAACGAGCGCAACCCUUGCCUCCUGUUGCCAACGGGUAAUGCCGGGCACUCUGGAGGUACUGCCGGCGAUAAGCCGGAGGAAGGUGGGGAUGACGUCAAGUCCUCAUGGCCUUUAUGCCCCGGGCUACACACGUGCUACAAUGGCUGGUACAGAGGGUCGCAAAACCGUGAGGUGGAGCUAAUCCCAAAAAACCAGUCCCAGUUCGGAUUGGAGUCUGCAACUCGACUCCAUGAAGUUGGAAUCGCUAGUAAUCGCGGAUCAGCACGCCGCGGUGAAUACGUUCCCGGGCCUUGCACACACCGCCCGU
rnacentral:rRNA from 1 species